GAUGAACGCUGGCGGCGUGCCUAAUACAUGCAAGUCGAGCGAACGGACGAGAAGCUUGCUUCUCUGAUGUUAGCGGCGGACGGGUGAGUAACACGUGGAUAACCUACCUAUAAGACUGGGAUAACUUCGGGAAACCGUAGCUAAUACCGGAUAAUAUUUUGAACCGCAUGGUUCAAAAGUGAAAGACGGUCUUUCUGUCACUUAUAGAUGGAUCCGCGCUGCAUUAGCUAGUUGGUAAGGUAACGGCUUACCAAGGCAACGAGGCAUAGCCGACCUGAGAGGGUGAUCGGCCACCCUGGAACUGAGACACGGUCCAGACUACUACGGGAGGCAGCAGUAGGGAAUCUUCCGCAAUGGGCGAAAGCCUGACGGAGCAACGCCGCGUGAGUGAUGAAGGUCUUCGGAUCGUAAAACUCUGUUAUUAGUGAAGAACAUAUGUGUACGUAACUGUGCACAUCUUGACGGUACCUAAUCAGAAAGCCACGGCUAACUACGUG
rnacentral:rRNA from 1 species